rnacentral:misc_RNA from 1 species
GAAAUGCGAUAAGUAGUGUGAAUUGCAGAAUUCAGUGAAUCAUCGAAUCUUUGAACGCACAUUGCGCCCGCCAGUAUUCUGGCGGGCAUGCCUGUUCGAGCGUCAUUUCAACCAUCAAGCCCCCGGCUUGUGUUGGGGACCUGCGGCUGCCCGCAGGCCCUGAAAACCAGUGGCGGGCUCGCUGUCACACCGAGCGUAGUAGCAUACAUCUCGCUCAGGGCGUGCUGCGGGUUCCGGCCGUUAAAAGCCUUUUUUACCCAAGGUUGACCUCGGAUCAGGUAGGAAGACCCGCUGAACUUAAGC